rnacentral:rRNA from 1 species
CCUACGGGGGGCAGCAGUGGGGAAUAUUGGACAAUGGGGGCAACCCUGAUCCAUCCAUGCCGCGUGUGUGAAGAAGGCCCUCGGGUUGUAAAGCACUUUCAGUGAGGAAGAACGCCUGGUGGUUAAUACCCAUCAGGAAAGACAUCACUCACAGAAGAAGCACCGGCUAACUCCGUGCCAGCAGCCGCGGUAAUACGGAGGGUGCGAGCGUUAAUCGGAAUUACUGGGCGUAAAGCGCGCGUAGGUGGCUUGAUAAGCCGGUUGUGAAAGCCCCGGGCUCAACCUGGGAACGGCAUCCGGAACUGUCAAGCUAGAGUGCAGGAGAGGAAGGUAGAAUUCCCGGUGUAGCGGUGAAAUGCGUAGAGAUCGGGAGGAAUACCAGUGGCGAAGGCGGCCUUCUGGACUGACACUGACACUGAGGUGCGAAAGCGUGGGUAGCAAACAGGAUUAGAUACCCCUGUAGUC